rnacentral:rRNA from 1 species
GCAAAAUGACACCGUAACUUCGGGAGAAGGUGUGCCGCUGUGCGUGAAAGACUUCGCGUCUGGAGCGUGUGGUGGUUGCAGAGAAACGGGGGUUGUGACUGUUUACUAAAAACACAGGACUCUGCGAAGUCACAAGACGACGUAUAGGGUCUGAUGCCUGCCCGGUGCUGGAAGGUUAAGGGGACGAGUCAGCGCAAGCGAAGCUCCGAACCGAAGCCCCAGUAAACGGCGGCCGUAACCAUAACGGUCCUAAGGUAGCAAAAUUCCUUGUCGGGUAGUUCCGACCUGCACGAGGGCAUAACAACAUCCCCGCUGUCUCGAUCAGGGACUCAGCGAAAUUGUAUCGGGGGUGAAGAUACCCUCUACCCGCGGCAAGACGGAAGACCCCAUGAACCUUUACUGCAACUUGGCAGUGAUUUUCGGGAUGUUCUGCGUAGGAUAGGUGGGAGGCUUUGAAGCGGGGCUUCUGGGUUCCGCUGAGCCAACGUUGAAAUACCACCCUGGAUAUUCUGGAAAUCUAACCUGGACCCAUUACCUGGGUCGGGGACACUGCCUGGUGGGCAGUUUGACUGGGGCGGUCGCCUCCAAAAAAGUAACGGAGGCGUGCGAAGGUUCCCUCAGGCUGAUUGGGAACCAGUCGUAGAGUGCAAACGCACAAGGGAGCUUAACUGUGAGACCGACAGGUCGAACAGGUGCGAAAGCAGGCGUUAGUGAUCCGGUGGUUCUGUAUGGAAGGGCCAUCGCUUAUCGGAUAAAAGGUACUCUGGGGAUAACAGGCUGAUCGCGCCUGAGAGUUCAUAUCGGCGGCGCGGUUUGGCACCUCGAUGUCGGCCCAUCGCAUCCUGGGGCUGGAGCAGGUCCCAAGGGUUCGGCUGUUCGCCGAUUAAAGCGGUACGCGAGCUGGGUUUAAAACGUCGUGAGACAGUUUGGUCCCUAUCUGCCGUGGGCGUAGGACACUUGAGAGGAGCUGCCCAUAGUACGAGAGGACCUGGGUGGACGUACCUCUGGUGUUCCGGUUGUCCUGCCAAGGGCAUAGCCGGGUAGCCAUGUACGGAACGGAUAACCGCUGAAAGCAUCUAAGCGGGAAGCCGGCCUCAAGACUAGGUGUCCCGGACCGCAAGGUCCCUAAAGACCCCUUGUAGACCACGAGGUUGAUAGGCCGGGUGUGAAAGCUGAGUAAUCAGUGGAGCUAACCGGUACUAAUAGGUCGUGUGGCUUGACCAU